GGGGAAUUUUCCGCAAUGGGCGAAAGCCUGACGGAGCAAUACCGCGUGAGGGAGGAAGGCUCUUGGGUUGUAAACCUCUUUUCUCAAGGAAGAAAAAAAUGACGGUACUUGAGGAAUAAGCAUCGGCUAACUCCGUGCCAGCAGCCGCGGUAAUACGGAGGAUGCAAGCGUUAUCCGGAAUGAUUGGGCGUAAAGCGUCCGCAGGUGGCUAUGUAAGUCUGCUGUUAAAGAGUCUGGCUCAACCAGAUAAAGGCAGUGGAAACUACAUGGCUAGAGUGCGUUCGGGGCAGAGGGAAUUCCUGGUGUAGCGGUGAAAUGCGUAGAGAUCAGGAAGAACACCGGUGGCGAAAGCGCUCUGCUAGGCCGCAACUGACACUGAGGGACGAAAGCUAGGGGAGCGAAUGGGAUUAGAUACCCCAGUAGUCCUAGCCGUAAACGAUGGAUACUAGGCGUGGCUUGUAUCGACCCGAGCCGUGCCGUAGCUAACGCGUUAAGUAUCCCGCCUGGGGAGUACGCAGGCAACUGUGAAACUCAAAGGAAUUGACGGGGGCCCGCACAAGCGGUGGAGUAUGUGGUUUAAUUCGAUGCAACGCGAAGAACCUUACCAGGACUUGACAUGUCGCGAAUUUCUGUGAAAGCAGAAAGUGCCUUCGGGAGCGCGAACACAGGUGGUGCAUGGCUGUCGUCAGCUCGUGUCGUGAGAUGUUGGGUUAAGUCCCGCAACGAGCGCAACCCUCGUUUUUAGUUGCCAGCAUUAAGUUGGGCACUCUAGAGAGACUGCCGGUGACAAACCGGAGGAAGGUGGGGAUGACGUCAAGUCAGCAUGCCCCUUACGUUCUGGGCUACACACGUACUACAAUGCUACGGACAAAGGGGCAGCAAGCAUGCGAAUGCAAGCUAAUCUCAUAAACCGUGGCUCAGUUCAGAUCGCAGGCUGCAACUCGCCUGCGUGAAGGAGGAAUCGCUAGUAAUUGCAGGUCAGCAUACUGCAGUGAAUUCGUUCCCGGGCCUUGUACACACCGCCCGUCACACCAUGGAAGCUGGUAGUGCCCGAAGUCAUUACCCCAACCGCUUGCGGAGGGGGAUGCCUAAGGCAGGACUGGUGACUGGGGUGAAGUCGUAACAAGGUAGCCGUACCGGAAGGUGUGGCUGGAUCACCUCCU
rnacentral:rRNA from 1 species